GACGAACGCUGGCGGCGUGCCUAACACAUGCAAGUCGAACGGAAACGCCGUGCUUUUGUGGGCUGCCCGAGGGGCGAAGGGGGAAGGAACACGUGAGUAACGUGCCCUUCACUUUGGGGUAACUUAAGGAAACUGAGGCUAAUAUCGGAUAGGAGCUCCUGCUGCAGGGUGGGGGUGGGAAAGUUUCGGCGGUUGGGGAUGGACUCGCGGCUUACUGGCUUGUUGGUGGGGUAGUGGCAUACCAAGGCAUUGACCGGUAGCCGGCCUGGGAGGGUGGCCGGCCCCCUUGCGCCUGCGAUACGGCCCAGACUCCUACGGUAGGCAACGGUGGGGAAUAUUGCACAGUGGGCGGGAGCCUGGUGCGACCACGCCGCGUGCGGGAAGACCGCCUGCUGGUUGUGAACCGCUUUCGCCUGUGACGAAGCGUUAGUGACGGUAAUGGGUGAAUAAGCACCGGCUAACUACGUG
rnacentral:rRNA from 1 species